CCUACGGGAGGCAGCAGUAGGGAAUAUUGCACAAUGGGCGAAAGCCUGAUGCAGCAACGCCGCGUGCGCGAAGAAGGCCUUCGGGUCGUAAAGCGCUUUUCGGGGAGAUGAGGAAGGACAGUAUCCCCGGAAUAAGGCUCGGCUAACUACGUGCCAGCAGCCGCGGUAACACGUAGGAGCCAAGCGUUAUCCGAAUUCACUGGGCGUAAAGCGCGUGUAGGCGGCUUGAUAAGUUGGAUGUAAAAGCUCCUGGCUCAACUGGGAGAGGACGUUCAAUACUGUCAGGCUAGAGGACGGCAGAGGGAGGUGGAAUUCCCGGUGUAGUGGUGAAAUGCGUAGAUAUCGGGAGGAACACCAGUGGCGAAGGCGGCCUUCUGGGCCGUUACUGACGCUCAGACGCGAAAGCUAGGGGAGCGAACGGGAUUAGAAACCCCGGUAGUCCUAGCCGUAAACGAUGUAGACUUGGUGUAGGUGGUGUAAAAGCCAUCGGUGCCGAAGCUAACGCGAUAAGUCUACCGCCUGGGGACUACGGCCGCAAGGUUAAAACUUAAAGGAAUUGACGG
rnacentral:rRNA from 1 species